rnacentral:rRNA from 1 species
GACGAACGCUGGCGGCGUGCUUAACACAUGCAAGUCGAACGGAAAGGCACUGCUUUUGUGGGGUGCUCGAGUGGCGAACGGGUGAGUAACACGUGUGUAACCUGCCCUUGACUUUGGGAUAACUUCACGAAACUGGGGCUAAUACCGGAUCGGAGCUCCUGCUGCAUGGUGGGGGUUGGAACGUUUCGGCGGUUGGGGUUGGACUCGCGGCUUAUCAGCUUGUUGGUCGGGGAGUGGCUUACCCAGGCUUUGACGGGUAGCCGGCCUGGGAGGGUGACCGGGGACAUGGGGACUGAGAGACGGCGCAGACUCCUACGGGGGGCAGCGGGCGGAAAUAUUGCACAAUGAGCGGGAGUCUGAUGCGACGACGCCGGGGUCGUGAUGACGGCCUUCGGGGUGUGAACCGCUUUCGCCUGUGACGAAGCGUGAGUGACGGUAAUGGGUAAAGAAGCACCGGCUAACUACGUG